rnacentral:lncRNA from 10 species
GAAGAUUGAGCUCUAACCAUCAGUUCCCCACAUGAAGGUUUAUUGUAAUAUGAAAAAGUUAUUUAAAUUUCAUUUCACGUUGUCCUUUUGAAUCCUCGCAUUAAUAAAAUCGUUUUCAGUGGAAAUAUCAGCAGCAAGAAAUAGAAAAUACUAACAGCAAGAUUUUUUAAUGCCCAUAAGAAGCAGCUUGGAAAUUGACACUCGGUUGCCAGGCACGUUUUACAGCUUUGCUCUUUACCAUGGACCAGAGAUAAUUUUCCUUAUGGAGAAUUUACAAGUUUCCAGAUGCAUUAUGCUGAAGAUAGCCAGGAUCCAGUACAAGGUUGGUAUCCCACUACAAAGCAAGGGCCUGCCACAACCAGAUGCAUGUUUCAACGACAUCGAAAGACUCACCUUGGACUCAUCGCUGACUUGUCAACCAGAACUCCAAUAUCUGAGUUUGUCAAGAUCUCAAAGGACGUGGAGUGCAUUUGUAUUAUCAUAUAAAGCACGUGAAAUUAUGGUUUUCUCUGUGAAUUUUUCUAAAAGCAUACUUUGAAUUCUAUUGUUGGUAUUUCCAGUGAGAAGCAUAGAGCACAUGGUAGGUGCUUAAUAAAUGUUUGAUGAAUACAUAAAUGAAUAAAUACCUGUAAAACAUUUAAUGGCACAGCAGCUGUUUCUUCUGUCACUUCUCAUGCGUCUCAGUGGAAUUCUUUUUUGCAUUUGAACACUAUUCCCACUGAGAAGUAAACAACCUCCUUUUUGCCUUUUCCCUUAGGAGAUUCCAAGGGUGUCAUAAGUUACAUGGUGCUUCUUAUGGCAUGCAAAUAACUCUUUAUCCAUGGUCCUUUCUGCUUCUUUAUUUUAGCAAAGAAAUCUGCUUUGUAUUAGAAUUCUCCUCUGAUUGGGAACCCACAUCAAAAAGACUUUAAUUCCUGAUAGUGAUUAUGAAAAAUUUCACUGAAAGAUUUACUUUAUGCUGGCUACUGUGCUAGGAAUUUUCCGUACAUUUUCUCAUUUAAUCCUUAGACUAAUCUCCAUUUUAAAAAGCAUUAUUUUUCAUUUUUAAAAUGUAGAUGCUGAGGCUUAGAAGUUGAGUAACUUGCCCAAGACCAUCUCACUAAUAAGUGGAAAAGUCAGAAUUCGAAAACAGAUUCAUCUGAAUUAAAAAGAAAGAAAGAAAGAAAGAAAGAAAGAAAGAAAGAAAGAAAGAAAGAAAAAAGAAAAAUCCACCCAAGGAGGAGCUAUGAAGUGCACUGUAUUUCAGCAGCUUUCUUUCUGACUGCAGUGUGGGGAUGGUUCUCUGGUCCCUGGUUUCCAGGCCCACUGGAAAGGCAGGUGUGAGCACAUGGCCAUAAUUCCUGUGCAAGAUGCUGUCAUUUCAGCUGGGGUAUGUUGAUGUGAUGAUGAGGACAAAGAGAAGCAGGGAGACUGUGAACAUAUUUAGAAUAUAAAAUUUGAGGAAUUUUGGGAUAGAUUAGAUGGAGGACGUUAGGCAAGGGAAGACUCGCUGGCAACUUUCUAGUACCUGGUUGGUUGCCUGGGUAUAUCGGGGCAUCAUUCACUAAAUAGGAAAUUCUAGAAAGGGAACAGGAAUUGGCAAAAAGAUAAUGAGUUCAGUUAGGGGGAUAUACUUAAGAGUGUCUAAGUAGAACUUCUAGUAGACAUUUGUAUACAUGAGCCUGAAAUUCAGAGGGAAUGACUUAAAUCUUCUAUUUUUGUGCUGUAUGAUUAUUUGACUUAAAAUUCUUUUUAGUUAGUAAAAGUUUUUCACUUAAUAAUUAGAGGAAAUCAAGGGAGUGUCUAUUAGUGAAUCAGAGCCUCUUAGAGAAACCUGUUCCAUAUUAUCCUGUUAAAUGCUUGGGUGAGGUUUUCCUCUUUAUUGCAUUUUUCCAUUGCUAAAAUCAUUCUGCAUCAUUAACUUUAUUGUAUUGCAUGUUGCUUAUUGUCUGGAAACAAAUAGCUGAUUGUGUCACCUCUAGUUCUGUAAUGUCAAACUUACCUUGGUUGUGAGAUGAACGAUCCACCUCCAUCAAUUAUUGCCAAUUGUCUCUUUGAAAAUAUAUGCCAUAGUACCUAUUUUUCUUCUACAUCAUCUUCUAAUUUCAAAGAAUUAUAAUUUUUUCCUUUAAUUAAACAUUUGGCCCUUCAAUAUUGCCUUGUUUAUAAUCCUGGGCCCAAAUGAAAAUACCAUGAUUAAAUAAAUCUUAGGAGUCCCAGCUGAGAUUAUCUCAACAAGGAAACUGUAAAAUGCUCUAAGACAAAAAGAAAUAGAGGAUGGUAAUGAGAGAUAAAAAGCAUUAUCUCACUGAACAAAGGAAAGAAGACAUGAAAGCCAAAAUGGGCUGACUACAGAUCUUCUGACCUUAAGCUGAGUGUUUGGUGUGGCUUCCUUCAUGGAAUGGAUGGUUGCAAUGAAUUUUGGUCUCCCAGCAUUUGAGCAUUCUUCAUAUGUUUGUGAGUCCCCCACCCUCCAUUACAUUAUAAAGAGCUGGCUCCUACUAGAGAAGCUGAAAACAUCACAAUUGUUCGCCUAGACCCUGGGAGCUUAGGAGUGGGCACGUGACCCAGACCUUGGCAAUGAGGGAUAGCCACUCCAUGCUCAAAGCUGGAUGCUGAUAACAUGGAAAAGGAAGGACCGCAUGGACUCUGUUCUGGAGAGAAUGGCAGCAGCAACACUGAGUUUUCUGAGGCAGUAGAAAGUGGCUCUGGGGACCGAAUAUGUGCCUACUGCCCAUGAGUUGGAAGUACACAUUGUGGACUUUGUGUCCAGCUCUUGCGCAGUUGUGUCUUCAUCAGACCAGCUCUGCUGUAUGUGAUUUUGGACACUGCUUUUGUUUGCCAAGCUUCCAUACCUGGCCCUUCUAGAGCUUUUGUAAGAUACCCAAUACCCUUUUAUUAAAACUAUUCUCUGCUCACAUUAGCUAGAGAUGUUGUCUUUUGCUUGCAACUGAGUGAUUCAUCCUAAUUCCAUGUGAUACACUAAAUUUUAAGGAUCUCAAAUCUCUGUCCUCCUGUAGCUCCU